CAGAGAUAUCUCCCGCUCGGACUGGACUGGUAUCGAGAAGCUCUGUAACACAUGACAGCUCUUCAAAACAUUUAUCACACAGGUGUGAUGUAGUUUUCCCAUGGCUCUACUAAGUUGACCACAGAAGCAGUCAUGGUGAGGUGUUUUACAUAUCCUUCCAUUAACAUUAAUGGAGCUUCACGUAUUUCUGCCUGCUCCCUAACAUCUGGUGUCCCAGACGUCUCUCUUUAUAUGUACUCAAGGCACGAAACCAAUCAGUGUCCUUCACUUGCAUAUGCUUAACCUUAAUAAUGCAUUUAACAUAUCAUUAACCAAUUCCAGUCUUUAAAUCAAACAAUACAGAUAAUAUUUCAAAUGAAGUCAAAGAAAAGGGAAAAUGAUUUUCCAUAUUCUAUA